rnacentral:rRNA from 1 species
UACGUAGGGGGCAAGCGUUGUCCGGAUUUAUUGGGCGUAAAGAGCGUGUAGGCGGCUUUGCAAGUCCGUUGUGAAAACUCGAGGCUCAACCUCGAGACGCCGGUGGAAACUGCAAAGCUAGAGUCCGGAAGAGGAGAGUGGAAUUCCUGGUGUAGCGGUGAAAUGCGCAGAUAUCAUGAAGAACACCCGUGGCGAAGGCGGCUCUCUGGGACUGUACUGACGCUGAGACGCGAAAGCGUGGGGAGCGAACAGG